rnacentral:rRNA from 1 species
UACGUAGGUGACCAGCGUUGUCCGGAUUUACUGGGCGUAAAGGGCGCGUAGGCGCCUUCUAAGUCGAACGUGAAAUCCCCGGGCUCAACCCGGGAACUGCGUCCGAUACUGGAAGGCUUGAAUCCGGGAGAGGGAUGCGGAAUUCCAAGGUGUAGCGGUGAAAUGCGUAGAUAUCUGGAGGAACACCGGUGGCGAAGGCGGCAUCCUGGACCGGCAUUGACGCUGAGGCGCGAAAGCCAGGGGAGCAAACGGG